UGGGGAAUUUUGGACAAUGGGCGAAAGCCUGAUCCAGCAAUGCCGCGUGUGUGAAGAAGGCCUUCGGGUUGUAAAGCACUUUUGUCCGGAAAGAAAUCCUUGGCUCUAAUACAGUCGGGGGAUGACGGUACCGGAAGAAUAAGCACCGGCUAACUACGUGCCAGCAGCCGCGGUAAUACGUAGGGUGCAAGCGUUAAUCGGAAUUACUGGGCGUAAAGCGUGCGCAGGCGGUUUGCUACGACCGAUGUGAAAUCCCCGGGCUCAACCUGGGAACUGCAUUAGUGACUGGCAGGCUAGAGUAUGGCAGAGGGGGGUAGAAUUCCACGUGUAGCAGUGAAAUGCGUAGAGAUGUGGAGGAAUACCGAUGGCGAAGGCAGCCCCCUGGGCCAAGUACUGACGCUCAUGCACGAAAGCGUGGGGGAGCAAACAGGAUUAGAUACCCUGGUAGUCCACGCCCUAAACGAUGUCAACUAGUUGUUGGGGAUUCAUUUCCUUAGUAACGUAGCUAACGCGUGAGUUGACCGCCUGGGGAGUACGGUCGC
rnacentral:rRNA from 1 species